CCUUGUCAAAAAUCAAGUGACCAUAAAUGUAAAGGUCUAGUUCUGGACUCUCAAUUUUACCCCAUUGUUUGAUAUAUCUAAAUU